GACGAACGCUGGCGGCGUGCCUAAUACAUGCAAGUCGAACGAACUCUGGUAUUGAUUGGUGCUUGCAUCAUGAUUUACAUUUGAGUGAGUGGCGAACUGGUGAGUAACACGUGGGAAACCUGCCCAGAAGCGGGGGAUAACACCUGGAAACAGAUGCUAAUACCGCAUAACAACUUGGACCGCAUGGUCCGAGUUUGAAAGAUGGCUUCGGCUAUCACUUUUGGAUGGUCCCGCGGCGUAUUAGCUAGAUGGUGAGGUAACGGCUCACCAUGGCAAUGAUACGUAGCCGACCUGAGAGGGUAAUCGGCCACAUUGGGACUGAGACACGGCCCAAACUCCUACGGGAGGCAGCAGUAGGGAAUCUUCCACAAUGGACGAAAGUCUGAUGGAGCAACGCCGCGUGAGUGAAGAAGGGUUUCGGCUCGUAAAACUCUGUUGUUAAAGAAGAACAUAUCUGAGAGUAACUGUUCAGGUAUUGACGGUAUUUAACCAGAAAGCCACGGCUAACUACGUGCCAGCAGCCGCGGUAAUACGUAGGUGGCAAGCGUUGUCCGGAUUUAUUGGGCGUAAAGCGAGCGCAGGCGGUUUUUUAAGUCUGAUGUGAAAGCCUUCGGCUCAACCGAAGAAGUGCAUCGGAAACUGGGAAACUUGAGUGCAGAAGAGGACAGUGGAACUCCAUGUGUAGCGGUGAAAUGCGUAGAUAUAUGGAAGAACACCAGUGGCGAAGGCGGCUGUCUGGUCUGUAACUGACGCUGAGGCUCGAAAGUAUGGGUAGCAAACAGGAUUAGAUACCCUGGUAGUCCAUACCGUAAACGAUGAAUGCUAAGUGUUGGAGGGUUUCCGCCCUUCAGUGCUGCAGCUAACGCAUUAAGCAUUCCGCCUGGGGAGUACGGCCGCAAGGCUGAAACUCAAAGGAAUUGACGGGGGCCCGCACAAGCGGUGGAGCAUGUGGUUUAAUUCGAAGCUACGCGAAGAACCUUACCAGGUCUUGACAUACUAUGCAAAUCUAAGAGAUUAGACGUUCCCUUCGGGGACAUGGAUACAGGUGGUGCAUGGUUGUCGUCAGCUCGUGUCGUGAGAUGUUGGGUUAAGUCCCGCAACGAGCGCAACCCUUAUUAUCAGUUGCCAGCAUUAAGUUGGGCACUCUGGUGAGACUGCCGGUGACAAACCGGAGGAAGGUGGGGAUGACGUCAAAUCAUCAUGCCCCUUACGACCUGGGCUACACACGUGCUACAAUGGAUGGUACAACGAGUUGCGAACUCGCGAGAGUAAGCUAAUCUCUUAAAGCCAUUCUCAGUUCGGAUUGUAGGCUGCAACUCGCCUACAUGAAGUCGGAAUCGCUAGUAAUCGCGGAUCAGCAUGCCGCGGUGAAUACGUUCCCGGGCCUUGUACACACCGCCCGUCACACCAUGAGAGCUUGUAACACCCAAAGUCGGUGGGGUAACCUUUUAGGAACCAGCCGCCUAAGGUGGGACAGAUGAUUAGGGUG
rnacentral:rRNA from 1 species